AGUGAACGCUGGCGGUAGGCCUAACACAUGCAAGUCGAACGGCAGCACAGUAAGAGCUUGCUCUUACGGGUGGCGAGUGGCGGACGGGUGAGGAAUACAUCGGAAUCUACUUUUUCGUGGGGGAUAACGUAGGGAAACUUACGCUAAUACCGCAUACGACCUACGGGUGAAAGCAGGGGAUCUUCGGACCUUGCGCGAUUGAAUGAGCCGAUGUCGGAUUAGCUAGUUGGCGGGGUAAAGGCCCACCAAGGCGACGAUCCGUAGCUGGUCUGAGAGGAUGAUCAGCCACACUGGAACUGAGACACGGUCCAGACUCCUACGGGAGGCAGCAGUGGGGAAUAUUGGACAAUGGGCGCAAGCCUGAUCCAGCCAUACCGCGUGGGUGAAGAAGGCCUUCGGGUUGUAAAGCCCUUUUGUUGGGAAAGAAAAGCAGCUGGUUAAUACCCCGCCGUUCUGACGGUACCCAAAGAAUAAGCACCGGCUAACUUCGUG
rnacentral:rRNA from 1 species